AAUCAACGCUGGCGGCGUGCCUAACACAUGCAAGUCGAACGCGAAAGCCCCGCAAGGGGUCAGUAGAGUGGCAAACGGGUGAGUAACACGUGGGUGACCUGCCUUCGAGUGGGGGAUAACGUCCCGAAAGGGACGCUAAUACCGCAUGACAUCCUGCUUUUGAAAAAGCGGAGAUCAGAGCUGGGGAUCGCAAGACCUAGCGCUUGAAGAGGGGCCCGCGCCUGAUUAGCUAGUUGGUGAGGUAACGGCUCACCAAGGCGACGAUCAGUAUCCGGCCUGAGAGGGCGGACGGACACACUGGGACUGAGACACGGCCCAGACUCCUACGGGAGGCAGCAGUGGGGAAUUGUUCGCAAUGGGCGCAAGCCUGACGACGCAACGCCGCGUGGAGGACGAAGAUCUUCGGGUCGUAAACUCCUGUCGAGCGGGACGAACGCUUCGCGGAUGAAUAAUCCGCGGAAUUGACGGUACCGCUAAAGGAAGCCCCGGCUAACUCCGUG
rnacentral:rRNA from 1 species